UCAUUUUAAUUCAUAAUCUGAUUAUUUAAAUCUUCAACUCAGGAUCCAAAUUUGUCCAAAAUAAGCAGAUUAGUAAAUGCUAUGAUAUCCAGUCAUGUGCUUGAAGCAGUUUUCAAAUGCCCUUGAGGUCGAGGCUUCAAAGAAUUGUUCAUGACAUGUCCAAUUCACUUCUCAUUCACCUAUCAUAAGUGCCUUAGCAUUCAGUAUGUAAUAACUUAAAAUGGAAAGUCUUAAUUUGGGGGGGGGGGGGGGGCCUUUCCUGAUUCAAGAAUAUUUUUAUUGUGGGAAAUAUGUAAGAAGAAGAUAGUCCUGGCCGGGUUGCUCAAUUAAUUGGAACAUUGUCCCCUACACCAAAGUGUUGCAGGAUUUGAUUCCUGGUCAGGGCACAAACCUAGGUUGCAAGUUCAAUCCCCAGAACAUAUAAGGGAGG